rnacentral:lncRNA from 1 species
UGCGCCAAUGUGCUCAAGCUUGUGGACCUAAAAUUGGGAAACCCACCUGUGAAGCCAUGCUGCUCUCUCAUCCAAGGCUUGGCUGACCUUGAGGCUGCUGUCUGCCUCUGCACUGUGCUCAAGGCUAACGUUCUUGGAAUCAACCUUAACCUUCCUAUCGAUCUCAGCGUUCUCCUCAAUGUUUGCAGUAGAAAAGCUCCAAAGAACUUCCAGUGCGCCUAAGUGAAAAAACUUAUGGCAUACCUACAUACAUUUGAUGAAGUCUCGAACUUAUAUUCUUUUCCUCAUGUUUUACUUUAAGGUGAUCUAUUUUUUUGUAUUUUUCUUGACUUUUUAAAAAUGAACGUACGUUUUCAUGUAAUAAUGGAUACUGCAUGGGUUUGUCCUGUCUGUGCAUGUAAUCGGCAAAUUUGUACUCCUUUACUUCAUUGUUCCUUUAUAUCCUCUUUGCAACUGUAUUCUUCGAAUUUUACUUAUAAAUUCAUUUCUCACUAUGAUUAAAUUUUAACUUAACAAUUAAAAAUCCCCACUGAACACCAAAUUAUAUUUUCACCAAAACACUACAAUAUUAAUUCAAGGCUCUUCGAAAGAGUCCGCUCCGGUUUUCUACCAUUGUCAACUCCGUGUGGUGGCCCUCUGGGGAGAAGUCCACUCUGAAACACUUCGGUGUGUUUCUACCGCGACUGACCGGAUCAGUCGAUAGGAUUUAUAUAUAAAAAAAAAUUCAUAAUCAAUGUCAAUUUUUAACAAGUAAGCUGAUCAUUGUUUUCAUAUACUAUUUUAGGAGUCAUUUGUCUUUCAAUAUAGAAAUUUCAAAACAAAUGACUUUCUAACUAUUUAUCUAGAAUAAAUUUCAUUAUGAAAUUAAGUUUUUCUCAGUAUGAUCUAUCAAUUUCACGCAAUAAAAAUUUCACUUGUAAUCGAUCCGAUAAACAUUGGGUCAGCAAAAUUUUGGUUUGAUUUCUGGUAGCAUGUGUCAAGCUAUAUGAAAAUGAAUGGAUUUCCGACUCAAAAACAAUUGACAGUCAGUAAAUUAACUGUAUAUUUCCCUAUAUAUUACAUUAGGUUUUUUAUAUUUUUUCCUUUACUUUCAAUCUUGAUUUGAUUAACCUGCUGAGAUAUUGAAAAGAACAUACUUUUUUCUUUUCUUUUUUUAACUUAAAAAAAAAAUCUGAUCCAAUAAGAAUUAAAAGAACACCACUAGUUGAAUAUACGAUUUGAAGAUAAUUCAUAUUUUAUUGUUGUAUAUGUAAAAUUUAAAGUUUACUCUUUAAGGUUUAGGGUUUAAAAUUGUAACAAGUUUGAAUUAUGAUUUUUUUAAAGAAUAUAAUGAAGUGUGAAGCGUGUUUUUUUGGUAACAUAUAAUAUUCUAUGAAAACCUAAACAUUAUGGCUAUUUGGUAUACAGUACUAUUGCUUAUGUGAAUAAAAUCUUUGCACAUCCCAAAAGUCUCGGGUCAACUUUCAAAAAGAAAAAUAUACAGCAAAAUUUCAACUUUGUAUUCACUUAAUUAUUGUUUAGAAAUUAUGAUCAUUGAUUUUAUUAAUUCCAGUAAUACAGAAGUAUGUUUUUAUUCCUUUUUCUAAAAGAAAAUGUAUAAUAGUUACUUUUGAUGUGUUAACCACCUAUAGUCUCCUAUCAAUUUCUUUAAUUCAUUCUUCACGUCUUUAUAGAUAUACUAUGUAAUUAAUAAAAGAAAAUUUCAUUAUUGUAAAAAAAAAAAGGAAUAGAUUUUGGCAUGAUGAUUAUCACGAAACUAUAUAUAUGUUAUUUAUUUAGCAAAGUGAUAAAAUAGUAUGAUCUCGCAUAUACAUCUUAUUCGAUAUAACUCAUAUAGACGUAUUAUCCGAAAGAUAAAAUAACAAAUUUUUUUUUCAUAUUGAACAUUACUUUCCUUUUAAAUUUGGAGUAAAGUAUUAUUUUGACGAAUUUGGAUUUUUUUUUUUCACACUAUCAAAUUGAACUUUGAUGUCAUAUUUGUGCUAAACCAUCUAAUAAAGUCUAACGCUGAGACUACCAAUACAAAUAUCACAUGUCGUCAAAACAAAUUCCAAACAAGUCCCAUCUGUUCUUCAAAUUAUACGGAAUGAUUUCAUAAGUCCAACCAUUUGAGACUACUAAAUACAAUUAUAACAUGGUAAUGAAGUAAUAAACUUUGUCUUCGUUUGAGAUAUUAUCUGUAAGCUAAAUGAUGUUUUAGAAACAAUCCAAACUAGUCUAUCUGCUCAAUCUAGUAAUAAUAGAAGUGUGUAUGUAUUCUUAUUAGAACUUGCACAUGUUUUGAAAUAAUACAUAACCAAAUGUAUGAUGAUGUCUAAGGCUUUUAGAUGGUAAUUAUAUUCUCAUUGAAAAAUAACCAGAAAGAAAAAGAAAAUAUUAUUUUUAUAUGCUUUUAAUAAAAUAUAAAAUAGAUAAAUAUUUUUUAUACUUUUAAUAAUAAUCGUGAAGGCUCGAAAAUAGAUCGAUAUAAUUUGAAAACUUGGGAGUUUUCUGGUUAAUUAGUUUAGAAGAUCGACUUCAACCACCAAAUUUCUUUUAUGGAUACACAAAUUAGAACAAUAUACUCAUUACCAGCUAAUUUGACCAAUGAGAAUUAAGAGUUCUUUAAUAAUCAAAUCAUAUCUAUAAAAAAUGAGUCAACUAAUCCCUUAUUGAGACAAAUUAUCAAUUAAACCUUUACAUUUCUCUCUUAUUGAAAAUUCUAUAAAUAGACGCUAAAGCUUAACAUAUCUCUCCACCCAUCUCAAACAAACUUAAAAGCACUACUACUUCUUGAGCCUUUUAAACUGCACAAACAAAUGGCUCCAAGAAUCUCCCUUGCACUCUUCCUUUCCCUCAACCUCCUCUUCUUCACUUACACCUCUGCGACCACCCCGAGCAGAAGGACUUGUCCUAAAGAUUCCCUACAACUCGGUGUUUGCGCCAAUGUACUCAAGCUAGUGGACCUAACAUUGGGAAACCCACCAGUAAAGCCAUGCUGCUCUCUCAUCCAAGGCUUGGCUGACCUUGAGGCUGCUGUCUGCCUCUGCACUGUGCUCAAGGCUAACGUUCUUGGAAUCAACCUUAACCUUCCCAUUGAUCUAAGCGUUCUCCUCAAUGUUUGCAGUAGAAAAGCUCCAAAGAACUUCCAGUGCGCGUAAGUGAAAAAACUUAUGGCAUA